rnacentral:rRNA from 1 species
UCGGGAAUUUUGGGCAAUGGGCGAAAGCCUGACCCAGCAACGCCGCGUGAGGGAUGAAGUAUUUCGGUAUGUAAACCUCGAAAGAAUGGGAAGAAUAAAUGACGGUACCAUUUAUAAGCUCCGGCUAACUCCGUGCCAGCAGCCGCGGUAAUACGUAGGGAGCAAGCGUUGUUCGGAUUUACUGGGCGUAAAGGGAGUGUAGGCGGACUUUUAAGUGAGAUGUGAAAUACCCGGGCUCAACCUGGGUGCUGCAUUUCAAACUGGAAGUCUAGAGUGCAGGAUAGGACAGUGUAAUUCCUAGUGUAGCGGUGAAAUGCGUAGAGAUUAGGAAGAACACCAGUGGCUAAGGCGACUCUCUGGACUGUAACUGACGCUG